GACGAACGCUGGCGGCGUGCUUAACACAUGCAAGUCGAACGGAAAGGCCCUGCUUUUGUGGGGUGCUCGAGUGGCGAACGGGUGAGUAACACGUGAGUAACCUGCCCUUGACUUUGGGAUAACUUCAGGAAACUGGGGCUAAUACCGGAUAGGAGCUCCUGCUGCAUGGUGGGGGUUGGAAAGUUUCGGCGGUUGGGGAUGGACUCGCGGCUUAUCAGCUUGUUGAUGGGGUAGUGGCUUACCAAGGCUUUGACGGGUAGCCGGCCUGAGAGGGUGACCGGCCACCUUGGGACUGAGAUACGGCCCAGACUCCUACGGGAGGCAGCAGUGGGGAAUAUUGCACAAUGGGCGGAAGCCUGAUGCAGCAACGCCGCGUGCGGGAUGACGGCCUUCGGGUUGUAAACCGCUUUCGCCUGUGACGAAGCGUGAGUGACGGUAAUGGGUAAAGAAGCACCGGCUAACUACGUG
rnacentral:rRNA from 1 species